GCGAGAGUGGCGGAACUGGCAGACGCGCAGGAUUCAGGUUCCUGUGGGGGAAACCCCGUGGAGGUUCAAGUCCUCUCUUUCGCA
rnacentral:tRNA from 1 species